CGAUAUCCCGGUCCCCUCUACCUCGUUGCUUCCUCCCCUCUCGGCUGAUUUGCCGUCCCUAAUCUCUGCCCUUACCGCCCUGACCCAGCCCCCCGUUCCCACCCCUCCAACCCCUUCUCCAGUGUUACCUCCUCCUCCCGAAGUCCCGGCCCCCUCUACCUCGUUGCCUCCUCCUCCCUCGGCUGAUUUGCCGUCCCUAAUCUCUGCCCUCACCGCCCUGACCCAACCCCCCGUUACCACCCCUCCAAC